UACGUAGGGUCCGAGCGUUGUCCGGAAUUAUUGGGCGUAAAGGGCUCGUAGGCGGUCUGUUGCGUCGGGAGUGAAAACUUACAGCUUAACUGUGGGCUUGCGGUCGAUACGGGCAUCACUGGAGUUCGGCAGGGGAGACUGGAAUUCCUGGUGUAGCGGUGAAAUGCGCAGAUAUCAGGAGGAACACCGGUGGCGAAGGCGGGUCUCUGGGCCGAUACUGACGCUGAGGAGCGAAAGCGUGGGGAGCGAACAGG
rnacentral:rRNA from 1 species